rnacentral:rRNA from 1 species
UACAGAGGGUGCGAGCGUUAAUCGGAAUUACUGGGCGUAAAGGGUGCGUAGGUGGCAAAUUAAGUUGGAUGUGAAAGCCCUGGGCUUAACCUAGGAACUGCAUUCAAUACUGAUUUACUAGAGUCGAAUAGAGGGAGGUGGAAUUUCCGGUGUAGCGGUGAAAUGCGUAGAUAUCGGAAGGAACAUCAGUGGCGAAGGCGGCCUCCUGGAUUCAGACUGACACUGAGGCACGAAAGCGUGGGGAGCAAACAGG